rnacentral:rRNA from 1 species
CCUACGGGAGGCAGCAGUGAGGAAUAUUGGUCAAUGGACGGAAGUCUGAACCAGCCAUGCCGCGUGCAUGAAGACGGCUCUAUGAGUUGUAAACUGCUUUUGUACAAGGGUAAACCUGAAUACGUGUAUUCAGCUGCACGUACUGUACGAAUCAGGAUCGGCUAACUCCGUGCCAGCCGCCGCGGUAAUACGGAGGAUCCGAGCGUUAUCCGGAUUUAUUGGGUUUAAAGGGAGCGUAGGUGGUUUGUUAAGUCAGUUGUGAAAGUUUGCGGCUCAACCGUAAAAUUGCAGUUGAAACUGGCAGUCUUGAGUACAGUAGAGGUGGGCGGAAGUCGUGGUGUAGCGGUGAAAUGCGUAGAUAUCACGAAGAACUCCGAUUGCGAAGGCAGUUCACUGGACUGCAACUGACACUGAGGCUCGAAAGUGUGGGUAUCAAACAGGAUUAGAUACCCUGGUAGUC